rnacentral:rRNA from 1 species
UACAGAGGAUGCAAGCGUUAUCCGGAAUGAUUGGGCGUAAAGCGUCUGUAGGUGGCUUUUUAAGUCCGCCGUCAAAUCCCAGGGCCUCAACGUCUGGACAGGCGGUGGAAACUACCAAGCUUGAGUUACGGUAGGGGCAGAGGGAAUUUCCGGGUGGAGCGGUGGAAAUGCGUAGAGAUCGGAAAGACACCAACGGCGAAAGCACUCUGCUGGGCCGACACUGACACUGAGAGACGAAAGCUAGGGGAG